rnacentral:rRNA from 1 species
AGUGAACGCUGGCGGUAGGCCUAACACAUGCAAGUCGAACGGCAGCACAGUAAGAGCUUGCUCUUACGGGUGGCGAGUGGCGGACGGGUGAGGAAUACAUCGGAAUCUACUUUUUCGUGGGGGAUAACGUAGGGAAACUUACGCUAAUACCGCAUACGACCUACGGGUGAAAGCAGGGGAUCUUCGGACCUUGCGCGAUUGAAUGAGCCGAUGUCGGAUUAGCUAGUUGGCGGGGUAAAGGCCCACCAAGGCGACGAUCCGUAGCUGGUCUGAGAGGAUGAUCAGCCACACUGGAGAUGAGACACGGUCCAGACGCCUACGGGAGGCAGCAGUGGGUAAUAUUGGACAAUGGGCGCAAGCCUGAUCCAGCCAUACCGAGUUGGUGAAGAAGGCCUUCGGGUUGUAAAGCCCUUUUGUUGGGAAAGAAAAGCAGCAGGUUAAUACCCCGCUGUUCUGACGGUACCCAAAGAAUAAGCACCGGCUAACUACGUG